GACAGAGGCCCCGAGCGUUAGUCGGAAUUACUGGGCGUAAAGGGCGCGUAGGCGGUUCGUACAGUCAGACGUGAAAUUCCUGGGCUCAAUCUGGGGGCUGCGUUUGAUACGUGCGGACUUGAGUGCGGAAGAGGGUCGUGGAAUUCCCAGUGUAGAGGUGAAAUUCGUAGAUAUUCGCAAGAACACCAGUGGCGAAGGCGGCUCACUGGCCCGAUACUGACGCUGAGGCACGAAAGCGUGGGGAGCAAACAGG
rnacentral:rRNA from 1 species